AAGUGACAAGUGCGUCAAGUGCUGACAGGGCCACCUGAAUAUUAAAAAAUUAGGGUAAUCAAACGGAAGUGGUCGUAUGCGCUGUUCGACGAACGAUGCGACAGAUCGGCGGAGCGGUAGGGUAAAGCAUGUGUUGCACAAGCGUAACAUUCCCUCUUGCAAGUGUCAUGAGUAUCCAGUGGGAAUUGUAGAACCAGUCUCGCCAUUACUUUCCACAGUGUUCGUAGUACAGGAUGCGUCAGAUACGAAGACAAUUUGAGUGGAGGGCAUGUCGCGCGUGAAUAUUUUGUCCGGUGAAUGCCAAAUUUCUGUGCGGAAUUUUGAGUGGACGGGCCGUAGUUGGUGCUAUUUGUGCACUUCUGCUUCGUCGACUCAGAGGUUUGAGUGAAUGUGCCGUGAUUAUCCGUGAAGCAGAGGUUGUGCUCAAAGGUUUGUGGACUAUCAGCGGCGUUUAACAUUCGAUGAAUGUCGAUCCCUCACAAAAUCGAACUUCGAAGUUGGAUUUGGCUGCUAUCACACUUGUCCAACACUAGUCUCAAGGCUGAAGUUCACGAAGGUUGAGCCUUCUUCAUGAGCAGAUCAGUGCAAGAAAUUACAAUUCAAGGACUAGUAUUUGAUAUUGGUAGUAUUAUCAUCUCCCCAGAGCUUAGAAAAUGACCCAAGGCAGGUUUCUUGAGUAGGAGACAAUGCUAUUGACAACGAUGCAAGUGGACCAUUGAACAUGGUUGAGGAUAGCUAGAUAUAAUAGAAUUCUCAGAACUCCAAUUCUUAGCCAGACUUGAGGAUGUUUCGGACACAAGCAGAAGUCACCUUGCUGACCUUACUGAGUGAAUUCUGCGCAAGCAAAUUUUCUGUUCAAGUAAUAGAUACAUCUGUGAAUGUGCUGUUCUUCUGUUUCA